rnacentral:rRNA from 1 species
UACGGAGGGUGCAAGCGUUAUCCGGAUUCACUGGGUUUAAAGGGUGCGUAGGCGGACAGGUAAGUCAGUGGUGAAAUCUCCGAGCUUAACUCGGAAACUGCCGUUGAUACUAUUUGUCUUGAAUAUUGUGGAGGUAAGCGGAAUAUGUCAUGUAGCGGUGAAAUGCUUAGAUAUGACAUAGAACACCAAUUGCGAAGGCAGCUAACUACAGGGAUAUUGACACUGAGGCACGAAAGCGUGGGGAUCAAACAGG